rnacentral:misc_RNA from 1 species
GUGGGAGGGGGCUUGCUCCCGAUAGCAGAGGGUCAGUCAGCACAUUUGUGGCUGAUAGGCCGCUAUCGGGAGCAAGCCCCCUCCCAC